rnacentral:misc_RNA from 1 species
GAUGAAGAACGCAGUGAAAUGCGAUAAGUAAUGUGAAUUGCAGAAUUCAGUGAAUCAUCGAAUCUUUGAACGCACAUUGCGCCCCCUGGUAUUCCGGGGGGCAUGCCUGUUCGAGCGUCAUUUCACCACUCAAGCCUCGCUUGGUAUUGGGCAACGCGGUCCGCCGCGUGCCUCAAAUCGACCGGCUGGGUCUUCUGUCCCCUAAGCGUUGUGGAAACUAUUCGCUAAAGGGUGUUCGGGAGGCUACGCCGUAAAGCAACCCCAUUUCUAAGGUUGACCUCGGAUCAGGUAGGGAUACCCGCUGAACUUAAGCAUAUCAAUAAGCGGAGGA